CUUAUGCGUUGUUGGGUAGGGGAGCGUUCUGUAAGCCUGCGAAGGUGGCCUGUGAGGGUUGCUGGAGGUAUCAGAAGUGCGAAUGCUGACAUAAGUAACGAUAAAGCGGGUGAAAAGCCCGCUCGCCGGAAGACCAAGGGUUCCUGUCCAACGUUAAUCGGGGCAGGGUGAGUCGACCCCUAAGGCGAGGCCGAAAGGCGUAGUCGAUGGGAAACGGGUUAAUAUUCCCGUACUUGGUGUUACUGCGAAGGGGGGACGGAGAAGGCUAUGUUGGCCGGGCGACGGUUGUCCCGGUUUAAGCGUGUAGGUGUGUGUUCCAGGUAAAUCCGGUUCACUUUAACACUGAGGCGUGAUGACGAGGCACUACGGUGCUGAAGCAACAAAUGCCCUGCUUCCAGGAAAAGCCUCUAAGCAUCAGGUAACAUCAAAUCGUACCCCAAACCGACACAGGUGGUCAGGUAGAGAAUACCAAGGCGCUUGAGAGAACUCGGGUGAAGGAACUAGGCAAAAUGGUGCCGUAACUUCGGGAGAAGGCACGCUGACACGUAGGUGAAGUGAUUUACUCA
rnacentral:rRNA from 1 species